AGAGUAUUAUAAGAUUAAGUCAUUAAUAAUGUAAAUCCCAACAAUGAUUGCAUAUAUGAACGCAUAAGCAGAUAAUUACUUCUAAUUUAUCAUAACUACUGCCACUUUAAGAGGGUAAGAAUCCAUCAGGGCAUCAAAUAAGCUAUUAACUCGAAAUAAAUGAAACAAAAGCAAACUAUCAACCAAAACUGAAAAUAUGAA
rnacentral:misc_RNA from 1 species